UACGUAGGGUGCAAGCGUUGUCCGGAAUUAUUGGGCGUAAAGAGCUCGUAGGCGGUCUGUCGCGUCGGAUGUGAAAACCCAGGGCUCAACCCUGGGCCUGCAUUCGAUACGGGCAGACUAGAGUUCGGUAGGGGAGAUUGGAAUUCCUGGUGUAGCGGUGGAAUGCGCAGAUAUCAGGAGGAACACCAAUGGCGAAGGCAGAUCUCUGGGCCGUAACUGACGCUGAGGAGCGAAAGCAUGGGGAGCGAACAGG
rnacentral:rRNA from 1 species